CCUUAUGUGACCUCACUGGGUAGUGAUGACCUCACAGGCCUUUUCACAGUUACCAUGACAGGGUAACUACACAAACGUGGUGCUUUCAGGAAAGCUUCCCUACCAGUUCUCUACCAGAUACCAGUCUGUUUGGAUGCCUGAGAGAGAAUGUCUGACCGGAUCUUCUAUAUUCAUUCUAAUUUGUCCUCUGUCCCCUGGGAGGGCAGCACAGCAGGUGAGCGUAGGCCAGGAAUCUGUACAAGAGUCACUGGUGUACACAUAACUUCACAUGGCUGCCACAUGUUGCUUUGGGGCUUGCCCGCCGCACCUCUGAGCUUCUCCAACUGUAAGUAAUAGCCCUCAGGGACCUACAGUGUUCCUGCUCAUUGCCGAAGACACGUAAAAUGUCAUCCCUGGGCAACUAUUCAGAAAGCUUCUAAACUUCAUAAUUGUAGCUUUCCCUUUUGGGCUACAAGUUGCUUCCAUUCUGACACUUUCCUGAUCGGCCUCUUAGCAAUAGUCGAGCGAAUUUUUGUUGGCAGGUAAGAAAUGGAGCAGUUUGAGGAAGAACCAUUGAGGUCCGCUCAUGAACCUCCCCUUCAAACCCAGGCACCUUCACCAUGCUGUCGUGUAAACAUCCACAUGGGGCCCCUCAAACACACCCCAGACAGAGCUGCUGAGUACUGGGGUAAGGGUGGUGGUGUCAUGUGCACGGGCAGAACAAAAGAGCCAAGGAGAGUGAUGAAGUGAUACCAAGACUGGAGGGUUGAUGAAAUGGUGUCCCAGGAGAUUGGGUUGAUGUGAGCCUAGACGCUACCCAGAAUCUGUCUUUGAACCUCCUGAUCAUUCUGCCUUAGUAUUUGGCCAUUUUCUAAUCUAGAUAAAAAUAUUAGAGGGCUAGAGGACAGUGUGGUUGAAACAGGCAGUAUGAAUGGGGCCCAAGAGGAGUUGCCCAAGAGGAGAUGGGAGGGUUUCUUAAUCCAUUUAUUUUAGGUUAUUUUUUCCAACACUUGAAAGGUAUUUCCAUUAAAGCUUCAGAAGUUAUAGACCUUAGGAAUUUCCCCCCUAUGGAAGGGAAAGAUGGAGGGGAUCCUGGUUGCAACUGUUUUCAGGCUCUACUGUGUCCUCUGAGAAUGGGGAACAGAUUUCCAGGUCUCCUGCUGCUGCCAUGAGCUCCAGAGAAUCACCUUUGCAGCCAUGUUCCUUCUCUAGGGGACUCAUUGGGGUGACUGGCCAAGGCUGUGUUUUGAAUACCAAGCAGAUUAAAGGUCUUCAGCCAGAAACUGGGAGAGACAUGAGAGGGUAGGUCCUGGCAAGGACACUGUAUACAGCAGAAAUGACUGAUUAGAUCUGAUUUUCUUUCCAACAGCAGGGGCUCCCUCUUCUCCCACACCUGGUCACUACCAUGUCCUCUACCGAGGGUGUGGAGAAACCCAGGUGGGCUGGCAUGGGGAGACGUACUGCCUGGUUGGUGGCUACCGGACCUAUGGGGAUGCUCCUGUGGCCACCCCAGCAAAGACAGAAGCAGAGAAACCAAUUCCCAGCCAGGCUCCCAAAAGACGUCGAGCUAUGGCAGAGUCAAAUAAAGACGUACGUUGCUCCAGCCCCAAAAUUCGGCGAUUGAAGCAUGGUGGCAGGAGGAUGACCCCAAAGAAGCUUGCUGACUGAGCCACUUUACAGGAAUGGCAAACAUUUAACUGCCUAAGACAGCUAAUGCCUCUUACUGAAGUGACCCCCCACUGCCCACCACUGGAGAUUAGAACCUGAGCCAUUCUGUCGGAGCCUUCUUCAGCCAGGAGCCUCCUUCCAUACUAACUGGCCAUGGGCAAGGAGCCAUAGAAGCUGAGGUUUGAAAUGAAAGCCUGCUCUGAACAUCCCAGAGCCAAAACUGGCCUGGAAGAAAACCUGAUGUUUCUCCACUCAAUCCUGUAGAGUCCCUUCUCGGGAAGAAGAAAGCAAAGUUUGCACUCUUUGAACCUAGGAGGAUGCAGGAGCAGAGGGAGGGUUCAGAGUGGCCUUAGCAGGGACUCAGUCCAUCAGAUGGACUCUUGCCCUGAGUCAUUGCCAGCAGUCACCAAUUAAACCAAGAGGAGCUGGACUUUUUUAAACUGAUAAAAGCAAUCUGGGUCUACCGAGGGAGCCCCUUGUCUGGAGUGGCAGGAGGCAGAAUAAGGAAACCCAGGAAGACCCGCUCCCCAGAGCAGGAAGAAAAUGGAGAGUUGGGUGGCGCCACCACUGAGGCUCACGCGCUCCUUCAUUCCCAGUCCUUCUUAGCCCCAGUGGGAUUUCUUACUGUUCAAUAAAAUGGUUUUCUCUAACAUAUUUGACUUGAAAUCCAGCUUGUCCAAGGCCAGGCCCCAAAUCUCCCUUUUCCCUUGAAGUACAUUUCCACAUGGGGUAUCGGGUGCUCUAACACCUUCUGCCUCCAAAAAAGACCCGUGAGUGCAGCUUCUAACUGUGUGGCUACCAUAAUGACAGCCGUGCAAAUUGGGGCAGGACACAGGCAGGUUCUUUAGGAGCCCAAGGGUGGCUGGGUGGUUCAAUUGGUUAAACGUCUGAUUCUUCAUUUCGGCUGAGGUCAUCAUCUCACAGUUCGUAAGAUUGAGCCCUGUGUCGGGCUGCACGCUGACAUCAGGGAGCCUGCUUGGGAUUCUCUGUCUCCCUCUCUCUCUCAGCCCCUCCCCGGCUCAUGCUCUCUCUCUCUCUGUCUCUCUCUUGCUCUCGCUUUCACUCUUGCUCUCACUCUCGCUCUCUGUUGCUCACUCUCUCUCUCUCAAAGUAAAUAAAUAAACUUUAAAAAAUGGUGAGCUUGGGGCGCCUGGGUGGCUCAGUCGGUUAAGCGUCCGACUUCGGCUCAGGUCACGAUCUCGUGGUCCGUGAGUUUGAGCCCCGCGUUGGGCUCUGGGCUGAUGGCUCAGAGCCUGGAGCCUGCUUCCGAUUCUGUGUCUCCCUCUCUCUCUGACCCUUCCCUGUUCAUGCUCUGUCUCUCUCUGUCUCAAAAAUAAAUACAACUUUAAAAAAAAAAAAAAAAAAA
rnacentral:lncRNA from 1 species